rnacentral:lncRNA from 1 species
CCUUUGUUGUGCUAAGGAUUGAAAUCGGGGCCUCACAAUACGAAUGGAGCACAACCCCAGCCCCAACAACCCCCUUAUCUGACAUAUUAUAAUGGGAAAGAUUCUAAUAUACGCCUCCAUACUGCAGACCUCGCCAGACUGAGAAACACCAAAGCCCAGGGCCGACCAGGAGCAGAGGGUCUGAGAAACCCAAAUGUCACUCAAGAACGUUGGAACCCCAAAGCCUUUUAUUAUGAAUCAUGAAUUAAUCAGACAGAGGGACGACUGGUAAGAUGGCUGAACUACUUGUUGCCAAGCCUGACAACUUGAGUUUGAUGUCCACAACCCAUAGGGUGGAAGAAAGAAUGGAUCCCUGAGGACUAUCUUCUGAGUUCCACACACCUGCUCUAUCCCAGAUAAGUAAAUUAAACAUGUGUUAAC